AAUUUAAAAGCUAUCAGAGGAACUGGAGGAUUUCUACAUAAACUGGAAAGACCCCAAGAACUGGGGCAGAGUGAAAUGAGCAGAACCAAGAGAAAGAUGGAGGAACUAAGACAUGGAAUGAUUAAGUGACUUGUACAAGAUCACAUGAACUUCGAAGUAAAUGGAGGAGUUUGCAAACCAUGUAGAGAAUUCACACCCUCAGAAAUUCAAUUAGCCAGGAAACUGUGCACCCUUUUGAUGAGAAUUCACAUCUCCAGAAGAUGAGAAGUGGAUCCCACAGACAUUACCCCCGCCAUGGGCAGUGCUGGGAAAUUUGAAAGCUGUGAUUGGCCCUUGUGAAUAGGGGAAGGGACAUGAAGCCACUAUAAAAGACCCUAAAUUUCUGGACUGGGGAGGUCAGCUUCAAGAGGAGUUUGGCUUCGAGAAGAAAGUCAACUUAAAGAAGAAAGUUGGCCUCAGGAAUCACCUUCAGCUUGAUUCAUCAUCUUGACCUGCUUCUUGGAGGGAAUUUUGGUGGGUGGAUAGCUGGCUUUCCCUUCCUGUCUUCUGGAGAGACUUUAAAUCUGGUUGAAAGUCAACAAGCCCUGGCUGAUUGGAGCACCCAGAGCAAUAUUUAAUUAGAUAGGCUAAUAUCUUCUCUACCCUUUUGUAUUUUUCUACUCUUUCCAUCUCUUUUGUAAAUAAGUUGUUAAAAGUCAUUUCAACUUUGAGUAAUAAUACUUUGAAUUGGCAACCACCAUUAUUAUUUAUCAUUUUUAUAUAUUUUAGUCAAACCAUUAAUUUUUAAUCCCUGCAAUAUUCACUCUAUUUACUUUUUAUUAAAAUAUUACCUCCUGUCUUAGAACCAAUACUAAGCAUUAGUUCCAAGAUAGAAGACUGGUAAAUAUUAAGCAAUUGAGGUUAAAAGCUAGAUAGGAAGUAUCUGAGACCAGAUUGGAACCCAGAAUGUCCUAUUUCCGGGCCUGACUCUCUAUCCACCAAGUCAACAAC
rnacentral:lncRNA from 1 species